rnacentral:misc_RNA from 1 species
GAUGAAGAACGUAGCGAAAUGCGAUAAGUAGUGUGAAUUGCAGACUUUAGUGAAUCAUCGAAUCUUUGAACGCACAUUGCGCCCUGUGGUAUUCCGCAGGGCAUGCCUGUUCGAGCGUCAUUUCAACCCUCAAGCUCUGCUUGGUGUUGGGCCACGCCCUCGCGGCCGGCCCCAAAGCCAGUGGCGGCGCCGUCCGACUCUAAGCGUAGUACAUCUCUCGCUCUAGGGCCCGGCGGCUGCCUGCCAGAACCCCAAACUCUUAUGGUUGACCUCGGAUCAGGUAGGGAUACCCGCUGAACUUAAGCAUAUCAAUAAGCGGAGGA